GGCCUUUAGCUCAGUGGUAGAGCAUUCGCUUUGCAUGCAGAAGGACUCAGGUAGGGCUGGGAGAGAGCCCUGUCUGAAAUCCUGAAGAGCCA